GGAGGGGACUGCAGACUGGGCUUUUCUUUAAACACUUAUAGAUAUCCUGUCCUGAUCUCUUGGUCCACAAAGAGUAAUUUUCUUCCCCUAAGAAAGUGACGUGGGUCUUGCCCAUUGUGUCCGCCUCGUUGACUCCCGACCAUGCCGCCCAGCAGGAAGCAGGUGGUCUGAGAUUUCCUCACCGACUCCGUCUGCUGCUUUUGUGUUCCCUUCUGGGCACAAACAGAGAAAUCUUCCAGAAUGGAGACUGCAUCAGAGUCGGGGCUGCAGUGCUGAAGAUGUGCUUGCAUGGGGGAGAGGUCGUGUGAGGACACAGCGAGAAGGCGGCCACCUCCCAGCCAAGGAGAGAGGCCUCGGGAGAAACCAGCCCUGCCCACACCUUGAUCUUGGACUUUCAGCUUCCAGAAUGGUGGGAAAGCAGACUUCCGUUGGGUAAGCCACCCCCCCAGCCUGUGGUACUUGGCUAUGGAAGCUCUAGCCAAACAAUGCAGUUCUUUAACAAGAACAUUGGCAUCACAGUUGCUCAUCUAAACGCAGCGCAGAGGCAGCUGUUAUACCCUGGACAUGUGGAACACAGCCCCACUGCAGGCCUGGCAGUUCCUGCCAACCACUAGAAGCUCCUUUCGCCUCCACAGGUUACCCGGUGGCUGCAGGAUGUCCUCUGGCUGCUUAGAGCACCCAGGCUCUCACCUCACCAGGCCUGUCUCUUCCAGGCAACAGAUCCUUUCUUGACUUCAUUUGGAGGGCAUAUGCUUCCUCCUCCUUUGGGAACCUUGGCCAGCCAUUUCCAAUACAACAUGUGUGUCUGCACUUGAAUGAAGGUGUUUUCUGCCCUCCAAAGACCAAUGGGUGAGUUUUGUGUGUCCGCACUUGAAUGUAGUGGUUUUCCAUCCCCCAAAGACCCGUGGUAGAGUUUUCAUGUGUAGUCCAUUUGAAUCACUGAUACGAUGCACUCGCUCUGAGAGUGGGGUAUUGAAUCCAAGACUCAGACACAGAGAGGGGCCGCUGGCGGA
rnacentral:lncRNA from 13 species